AGUGGCGGACGGGUGAGUAACGCGUGAGAAUCUGCCUUGGGGUCGGGGACAACAGAGGGAAACUUCUGCUAAUCCCGGAUGAGCCUUAGGGUAAAAAAUUUAUUGCCUGGAGAUGAGCUCGCGUCUGAUUAGCUAGUUGGUAAGGUAAAAGCUUACCAAGGCAACGAUCAGUAGCUGGUCUGAGAGGAUGAGCAGCCACACUGGGACUGAGACACGGCCCAGACUCCUACGGGAGGCAGCAGUGGGGAAUUUUCCGCAAUGGGCGAAAGCCUGACGGAGCAAGACCGCGUGGGGGAGGAAGGCUCUAGGGUUGUAAACCCCUUUUCUUUGGGAAGAACAAAAUGACGGUACCAAAGGAAUCAGCCUCGGCUAACUCCGUGCCAGCAGCCGCGGUAAUACGGAGGAGGCAAGCGUUAUCCGGAAUGAUUGGGCGUAAAGCGUCCGCAGGUGGCAAUGUAAGUCUGCUGUCAAAACCCAGGGCUCAACUCUGGUCAGGCAGUGGAAACUACAUAGCUAGAGUUCGGUAGGGGCAAAGGGAAUUCCCGGUGUAGCGGUGAAAUGCGUAGAGAUCGGGAAGAACAUCGGUGGCGAAAGCGCUUUGCUAGACCGAAACUGACACUCAGGGACGAAAGCUAGGGGAGCGAAUGGGAUUAGAUACCCC
rnacentral:rRNA from 1 species